rnacentral:rRNA from 1 species
GACCUCAGAUCAGGCGAGGCUACCCGCUGAAUUUAAGCAUAU